rnacentral:tRNA from 1 species
GGCUUCGUAGCUCAGCUGGUAGAGCAUUUACCGCGUUGAGGCAUGUUGUAUCUGUCGCUGGUUCGAAUCCAGUCGAAGCCC